rnacentral:rRNA from 1 species
UCCGUAGGUGAACCUGCGGAGGGAGGAUAACCGAGUUUACAACUCCCAAACCCCUGUGAACAUACCAAUUGUUGCCUCGGCGGAUCAGCCCGCUCCCGGUAAAACGGGACGGCCCGCCAGAGGACCCCUAAACUCUGUUUCUAUAUGUAACUUCUGAGUAAAACCAUAAAUAAAUCAAAACUUUCAACAACGGAUCUCUUGGUUCUGGCAUCGAUGAAGAACGCAGCAAAAUGCGAUAAGUAAUGUGAAUUGCAGAAUUCAGUGAAUCAUCGAAUCUUUGAACGCACAUUGCGCCCGCCAGUAUUCUGGCGGGCAUGCCUGUUCGAGCGUCAUUUCAACCCUCAAGCCCAGCUUGGUGUUGGGACUCGCGAGUCAAAUCGCGUUCCCCAAAUUGAUUGGCGGUCACGUCGAGCUUCCAUAGCGUAGUAGUAAAACCCUCGUUACUGGUAAUCGUCGCGGCCACGCCGUUAAACCCCAACUUCUGAAUGUUGACCUCGGAUCAGGUAGGAAUACCCGCUGAACUUAAGCAUAUCAAUAAGCGGAGGA